UACGUAGGGUGCGAGCGUUAAUCGGAAUUACUGGGCGUAAAGCGUGCGUAGGCGGUUCGUUAAGUCAGCUGUGAAAGCCCCGGGCUCAACCUGGGAACUGCGGUUGAAACUGGCGAACUAGAAUCUGGCAGAGGGGGGUGGAAUUCCACGUGUAGCAGUGAAAUGCGUAGAGAUGUGGAGGAACACCGAUGGCGAAGGCAGCCCCCUGGGCUGAGAUUGACGCUCAGGCACGAAAGCGUGGGGAGCAAACAAG
rnacentral:rRNA from 1 species